AAAGGAAUAGACGGGGGCCCGCACAAGCGGAGGAACAUGUGGUUUAAUUCGAUGAUACGCGAGGAACCUUACCUAGGCUUAAAUGUAGAUUGCAUGACUUGGAAACAGGUCUUUCCUUCGGGACUAUUUACAAGGUGCUGCAUGGUUGUCGUCAGCUCGUGCCGUGAGGUGUCGGGUUAAGUCCCAUAACGAGCGCAACCCUCAUCGCCAGUUGCCAGCAUGUAAUGAUGGGGACUCUGGUGAAACUGCCGGUGUAAACCGUGAGGAAGGUGGGGAUGACGUCAAAUCAGCACGGCCCUUAUGUCUAGGGCUACACACGUGUUACAAUGGCCAAUACAGUGGGCAGCCACCCGGCGACGGGGCGCUAAUCCAUAAAGUUGGUCUUAGUUCGGAUCGGAGUCUGCAACUCGACUCCGUGAAGCUGGAUUCGCUAGUAAUCGCAGAUCAGCCAUGCUGCGGUGAAUACGUUCCCGGGCCUUGUACACACCGCCCGU
rnacentral:rRNA from 1 species